rnacentral:rRNA from 1 species
AGCGAACGCUGGCGGCAGGCUUAACGCAUGCAAGUCGAGCGGGCCCUUCGGGGUCAGCGGCCGACGGGUGAGUAACACGUGGGAACGUACCCUUUGGUUCGGAAUAACGCUGGGAAACUAGCGCUAAUACCGGAUACGCCCUUUUGGGGAAAGGCUUGCUGCCGGAGGGUCGGCCCGCGUCUGAUUAGCUAGUUGGUGGGGUAAUGGCCGACCAAGGCGACGAUCAGUAGCUGGUCGGGGAGGAUGAUCCGCCACACUGGGACUGAGACACGGCCCAGACUCCUACGGGAGGCAGCAGUGGGGAAUAUUGGACGAUGGGCGCAAGCCUGAUCCAGCCAUGCCGCGUGAGUGAUGAAGGCCUUAGGGUUGUAAAGCUCUUUUGUCCGGGACGAUAAUGACGGUACCGGAUGAAUAAGCCCCGGCUAACUUCGUG